UGGAACAAGAUCGUUCUUAAAAAGUGG
rnacentral:piRNA from 1 species